rnacentral:rRNA from 1 species
UACGUAGGGUGCGAGCGUUAAUCGGAAUUACUGGGCGUAAAGCGUGCGCAGGCGGUUUUGUAAGUCUGUCGUGAAAUCCCCGGGCUCAACCUGGGAAUUGCGAUGGAGACUGCAAGGCUAGAAUCUGGCAGAGGGGGGUAGAAUUCCACGUGUAGCAGUGAAAUGCGUAGAGAUGUGGAGGAACACCGAUGGCGAAGGCAGCCCCCUGGGUCAAGAUUGACGCUCAUGCA